rnacentral:rRNA from 1 species
GAUUGCCUCAGUAGCGGCGAGUGAAGCGGCAAGAGCUCAGAUUUGAAAUCGUGCUUUGCGGCACGAGUUGUAGAUUGCAGGUUGGAGUCUGUGUGGAAGGCGGUGUCCAAGUCCCUUGGAACAGGGCGCCCAGGAGGGUGAGAGCCCCGUGGGAUGCCGGCGGAAGCAGUGAGGCCCUUCUGACGAGUCGAGUUGUUUGGGAAUGCAGCUCCAAGCGGGUGGUAAAUUCCAUCUAAGGCUAAAUACUGGCGAGAGACCGAUAGCGAACAAGUACUGUGAAGGAAAGAUGAAAAGCACUUUGAAAAGAGAGUGAAACAGCACGUGAAAUUGUUGAAAGGGAAGGGUAUUGCGCCCGACAUGGGGAUUGCGCACCGCUGCCUCUCGUGGGCGGCGCUCUGGGCUUUCCCUGGGCCAGCAUCGGUUCUUGCUGCAGGAGAAGGGGUUCUGGAACGUGGCUCUUCGGAGUGUUAUAGCCAGGGC